GCGCCCGGUCACUCAGCAAGGCGUCCACGGCCAUCAACUGGCUCACAAAAAAGUUCCUCCUCAAGAAGGCCGAGGAGUCGGGCAGCGAACAGGCCACAGUAGACGCCUGGCUGCAGCGCUCGAGCUCCCGCAUGGGUUCCCGCAAACUCCCCUUCCCGUCGGGUGCCGAGAUCCUGCGGCCCGGGGGCCGGCUCCGAAGGUUCCCCCGCAGCCGCAGCAUCUACGCGUCAGGCGAGCCCCUGGGCUUCCUGCCCUUCGAGGACGAGGCCCCCUUCCAUCACUCGGGCUCCCGCAAGUCGCUGUACGGGCUUGAGGGCUUCCAGGACCUGGGCGAGUAUUAUGACUAUCACCGCGACGGCGACGACUACUACGAUCGGCAGUCACUCCACCGCUACGAGGAGCAGGAACCCUACCUGCCGGGCCUCGGCCCCUACAGCCCGGCCUGGCCACCCUACGGCGACCACUACUACGGGUACCCGCCCGAGGACCCCUACGACUACUACCACCCCGACUAUUACGGUGGCCCCUUUGAUCCGGGGUACACCUACGGCUACGGCUACGGCUAUGACGAUUACGAACCCCCAUAUGCGCCCCCAUCGGGGUACUCGUCUCCUUACAGCUACCACGAUGGGUACGAGGGCGAGGCGCACCCAUAUGGCUACUACCUGGAUCCCUAUGCGCCGUACGACGCGCCAUACCCACCCUAUGACCUCCCGUACCACAGUCCCUACGAUGUACCCUACUUUGAUCCCUACGGGGUCCCCUACACCGUCCCCUAUGCCGAAGGCGUAUAUGGCGGUGGGGACGAGGCCAUCUACCCCCCCGAGGUGCCCUAUUUUUACCCGGAGGAGUCGGCCUCGGCCUUUGUGUACCCCUGGGUACCACCGCCCAUCCCGUCGCCCCACAACCCGUAUGCCCACGCCAUGGAUGACAUCGCCGAGCUGGAGGAGCCGGAGGACGCGGGCGGGGAGCGUCAGGGGACCUCCUUUCGCCUGCCCAGCGCCGCCUUCUUCGAGCAGCAAGGCAUGGAUAAGCCCGCCAGGUCCAAGCUGUCCCUCAUCCGCAAGUUCCGCCUCUUCCCGCGACCCCAGGUGAAGCUGUUUGGGAAGGAGAAGCUGGAGGUGCCCCUGCCACCCUCUCUGGACAUUCCUCUACCCUUGGGGGAUGCGGACGAAGAAGAGGACGACGAGGAGCUGCCCCCGGUGUCCGCUGUGCCCUACGGCCCCCCUUUCUGGGGCUUUCUCACGCCGCGCCAGCGCAACCUCCAGCGCGCGCUGUCGGCCUUCGGCGCCCACCGGGGCCUGGGCUUCGGCCCGGAGUUUGGCCGCCCCGCGCCUCGCCCUGCCACCUCGCUGGCGCGGUUCCUCAAGAAGACGCUGUCGGAGAAGAAGCCCAUCGCGCGGCUCAGGGGCAGCCAGAAGGCCCGGGCGGGCGGCCCUGCGGUCAGGGAGGCGGCCUACAAACGCUUCGGCUACAAGCUGGCUGGCAUGGACCCAGAGAAGCCCGGCACGCCCAUCGUGCUGAGGAGGGCCCAGCCGCGCGCUCGCAGCAGCAACGACGCGCGCCGCCCGCCCGCGCCACAGCCCGCGCCCAGGACCCUCUCCCACUGGAGCGCGCUCUUGUCUCCGCCCGUGCCCCCGCGGCCCCCCAGCCCCGGGCCCCCGCCCGCGCCGCCGCUCUCCCCGGCGCUCUCGGGCCUGCCCCGGCCGGCCUCGCCCUAUGGCUCCCUCCGCCGCCACCCGCCGCCCUGGGCCGCCCCAGCGCACGUGCCCCCGGCGCCGCAGGCCAGCUGGUGGGCCUUCGUGGAGCCCCCUGCCGUGAGCCCGGAGGUGCCCCCCGACCUACUAGCCUUCCCCGGGCCCCGACCCUCGUUCAGGGGCUCCCGCCGGAGAGGGGCGGCCUUUGGCUUCCCCGGGGCCUCCCCACGGGCGUCGCGGAGGCGAGCCUGGUCACCGCUGGCCUCGCCCCAGCCCUCGCUGAGGAGCCCGCCAGGCCUCGGCUACUGCUCACCCUUGGCGCCCCCGUCGCCUCAGCUGCCCUUGCACACGGGCCCCUUCCAGCCGCCCUUCCCGCCCCCAGCUCGCUCGCUGCAGGAGUCCCCAGCCCCACGCCGAGCCGCUGGGCGCCUGGGCCCACCUGGCUCGCCGCUGCCGGGCUCACCCAGGCCGCCCUCGCCGCCCCCGGGGCUGGGCCACAGCCCGCGGCGCCGCUCCCUGAACCUGCCCUCGCGCCUCCCGCACACGUGGCGGCGCCUCAGCGAGCCGCCCACUCGGGCUGUGAAGCCGCGAGUGUGCCCGCCCUUCCACCGACCGCCCAGGUCCGGGGCCUGGCGGGCGCCCCUGGAACACCGGGAGAGCCCGCGAGAACCCGAGGACUCAGAGACGCCCUGGACCGUGCCCCCACUGGCCCCCACCUGGGACGUGGACAUGCCUGCCACCCAACGCCCACCCUCCCCCUGGCCAGGAGGUGCAGGCAGCCGCCGAGGCUUUUCCAGGCCACCCCCUGUGCGGGAAAACCCCUUUCUCCAGCUCCUGGGCCCUGUGCCAUCCCCCACUCUCCAGCCUGAGGAUCCAGCUGCUGAUAUGACCAGGGUCUUCCUGGGCAGACACCAUGAGCCCGGGCCUGGACAGCUCACCAAAUCAGCUGGCCCAACCCCUGAGAAGCCUGAAGAAGAGGCCACCCUGGGGGACCCCCAGCUGCCAGCAGAGACCAAGCCUCCAACCCCGACACCUCCCAAGGAUGUCACUCUCCCCAAAGAUGUCCUCCCAGAGCAAAAGACAUUAAGGCCCAGCCUCUCAUACCCACUGGCUGCGUGUGACCAGACCAGGGCCACAUGGCCACCAUGGCACCGCUGGGGGACACUGCCCCAAGCCGCAGCCCCCUUGGCACCCAUCAGGGCCCCAGAGCCCCUGCCCAAGAGGGGUGAGCGGCGCCAGGCAGCCCCUGGGCGUUUUGCUGUGGUCAUGCCUCGUGUGCAGAAGCUGAGCUCUUUCCAGCGAGUUGGGCCUGCAACCCUGAAGCCUCAAGUCCAGCCAACCCAGGACCCCAAGCCGAGAGCCUGUAGUCUUCGCUGGUCCUGCCUCUGGCUUCGGGCAGAUGCCUGUGGACCCUGGCCACGAGUACACACCCAUCCCCAGUCCUGCCACCUGGGCCCUGGAGCCGCCUGCCUGUCCCUUGGGGGCUCCUGGGAGGAGGUUGGCCCCCCAAGCUGGCGGAACAAGGUAUGGAGGCACAGAUUACAGGGAGGGUUUGAGGGUUCUGGCCUAGGAAACAAGACAAGAGAGACAGCCUGAGGAGCCCUGUGCAACCUUGGAGAGAGGCUGCUUGCUGGGGCCUCAGUCUCUGGGUCUGUAAGUUGGGGAGAACAGCCUGGACCUCCCAGAACCUCUGGAGGGUUGAACAAGGGGAUGCCCAACACAGGCAGGCACAGGACAGAGACGUGGGAAACUGCUUCCAGGUCACUCUGGGGAAGGAUCUUUGUUCAUAUUCAGCUUGGGCCCUGGGCAGCCCUGCUCUGAUCCAAUCUGGAUGACAGGUCUGGCCCCUAACUUCCCCUCAGAGAUUUUGGCCAAGCCAGAUGUGAAACUGCCGGACAUCCCUAUCCAUCCUGUUCCACCGCACAUCCAGGUCUGUGCGGUUCCUCCUGCCUCCUACUGACCCUCCCCCAAAUUAAAGCCUCAUCUUUCCUCAGGGUUUUUGCUGCCCUUUGAAGUCCCCUGGGCUGCAGGAUUCUGGAAUAGGUCAGGGUGAGGGGCUCAGGAUCCAAACUUCCAGACUCCUCAUUGCACAGAGGGAAAACUGAACCAGGAGUCCUUCUGGAACCCCAUGUGGGGUGCAGGGUAGGCAGCCCUUCGGAGGGGUGCCCAGCCCAUGCCUGGCUACCACACUCAAGGCGGAACUCGAGCCUGAUGCUGGGUGGCCCUUGGCCGAGGUGCGUGGUCACCGGAGCCUCUCUCGGGAUGCCGGGGUGGUGGGCGGGGCAAGCAGGGGCAGCGGGUGCGUCUCAGCCUCUGCAGACCGUGCCUGGCGGAGCAGGCAGCCAGCCGGUCCCAACAAUGGCAACUGGGGCAGCCUGGCUGCUGGGGGGGCCCUGGCCCCGGCGGCGGGUGCCCCGCGCUGUGUGGGCUGCAGCGUUGCGGGAGCGGGGCGCGGGGCGCCUAGGGGUGAGGGGCAAGGAUGCCUGGGCCCUCCUCACCCUGGAAUACGUGAGUGGCUGAAUUAUUCAGGGUCUGUGGCUGCUGGCAAGCACGUGGGCAGAUGGGUGGGCCAGAGGCCAGGGCCGAAAGGGUGAUACUCGCUGUGCCCUACUUAGCAGUCCAGUGACAGGCAUGCAGGGCUCCCUCCUGGUGUCCUCUUUCCUUGCCUGCUCAGGGUGCAGCUGGGAUUGGAAAGGCUGAGGAUGUACACAUGUGUGCUCCCAGUCAUGUGGAUCCUGCACAGGCCUGCAUGCCUGAGCAUGUGUGCAAGUGUUUACCACGGCCAAAUGACGAAAGCUAGUGUAUGAGGUCUGAGCAGAUGUGGCAUCCCUGGGGGUCAGGGUUGUUUGCCCACCCUCUGCCCAUGUGCACAGACGUGUGCUCACAGAGGAGACCCUGCAGCCCAAAGGUGGCAUCAGGAUUUCCAUUCGCUAGACCCCUAGGGUAGGGAGGGACCCAGCUGUGCGCCCAGAUAUAUGUGCCAAGUGGACAGGUACAGCAUGUGCCUGCACACUGUGUGCCUCCAGCCAGGCCCCACAGGCCUGCGUAUGUGCCCACAGGCCUACAGGAACACCUGUGUGCCUGGGAGUUGUAUGAGCUGUAAAUGCCAUUGAGUGUGGGUCCAUAUGCAGGUGUCCACACAUUUUCCCCGGGAUGAGCAUGGGGGUGUGGUGCUAAGUAACAGUCUCCAUCUCUGCCCUCCUAGAGGCCCCAUGCACCAGGUCACAAGUGUCCUUUGAGUUGUCACACAAGCCAGCAUGUGGGGUCUGCUGGUGCUGGAAGAGCUGCGGUUGGGAGGGAGCUGACCCGUGCACCCAUGUACCUGCACAUACCUUUGCUCACCCCCCAGGGCAGGACACUUGGGAGCUCAUGGGAGCGCCUGCCUGGGCACUGAGGGCAUGUGUGUGUCUCAUGUGUGAGGGCCGCAUACAGGUUCUGGGGGCCACAGCAUUCUGUAAUGAGGAGACCUGCAGGACCCACCUGGCCUUGGGGUUCCCUCUCCAACAAUGGUAGCAGGCCCCAGGUAUGACCAAGCCGGGGGCCAGUGGGGGAGGGGGGUGCCCUUCGACCUGCAGACACAGCCUCUCUCUCACACAGAUGCACUCCAUCCGCAACCUGCCAUCCAUGCGGUUCCGUGAGCAGCACAGGGAGGAUGGUGUGGAGGACAUGACGCAGCUGGAGUGAGUGGGCAGGGCCGGCGGGCUCAGCAAGGGGUCACCGUGGGGUCCCCCCCCCAGUCAGAGCGGCUCCUCCUGCAGUUGCCUCUCACCUCCCAGGACAUUUUCAGAGGCUCAGUCAUGAAGUGUCACAAAGACUAAAUGUGGUGUGCUUUGUGAGUUAGACGGACUUUGGUUCUAAUCCUAGCCCCACCACUCACCAGCUGGCAGACGUUGCACAAAUCGCUUUGUUUCUCUGCACCUCAGUUUCUCAUCCACAAAAUGGGAGUGGGAUGGCUGUUGUGAGGAUGCCAGCACAUUGGAGGUACUCAAAACAUGAGGACUGUGUUGGUCAGCAUCAUUAUCUAAUCACGGUGAUUACAUAAGAGUAUCCCCCAAGCCCCCAAUGAAGUAGGUACAAUGAUUAUCAUACCCAUUGGACAAAUGAAGAAACAGGCACAGAACGGGGAAGUAAUUUGCCCAAGGUCUCCUAGCUGGUUGGAGUCAGAAAUAGGACUUGAAUUCAGGCCUAUCUGAUCAAGGCACUGCACUGAGUUGGGGAGGGAGACCCAUACAAGAACCAGCCCUGGGGGCACUGACGGCUUCUCUCUGUGCCCUUCUAGAGACCUCCAGGAAACCACUGUGCUGUCCAACCUCAAGAUGAGAUUUGAACGGAACCUCAUCUAUGUAAGGCCUGGGGCUGGCCCUGCCCUGGACCUAGGUCAGGAAGGCAGCUGCCUCCUGGGGCCGGGUGGGACGCACAGAUUUCUCUUGUGGGCCUGAGCCCCUGUGGCCUCUGCCUAGAAUGCCAGAGCCUAGAACUAAAAUCUGAAGUCUUAAAACACAGUCUUAGAAUGGUGGAUGCCAGAGGCCGAGCGCAGUGGCUCACGCUUGUAAUCCCAGCACUUUGGGAGGCCGAGGCAGGCGGAUCACAAGGUCAGGAGAUCGAGACCAUCCUGGCUAACAUGGUGAAACCCCGUCUCUACUAAAAAUACAAAAAAAAAAAAAAAAAAUUAGCCAGGUGUA
rnacentral:sRNA from 1 species